AACGAACGUUAGCGGCGCGCUUAACACAUGCAAGUCGUGCGAGAAAGGGCUUCGGCCCCGGUACAGCGGCGCACGGGUGAGUAACACGUAGGUAAUCUGCCCCCAGGUGGUGGAUAACCUUCCGAAAGGAGGGCUAAUACAGCAUAAGACCACGGGUUCGAAAGGACUUGAGGUCAAAGCCGGCCUCUUCACGAAAGCUGGCGCCAGGGGAUGAGCCUGCGGCCCAUCAGGUAGUUGGUAGGGUAAUGGCCUACCAAGCCUAAGACGGGUAGCUGGUCUGAGAGGAUGAUCAGCCACACUGGAACUGAGACACGGUCCAGACUCCUACGGGAGGCAGCAGUGGGGAAUCUUGCGCAAUGGGCGAAAGCCUGACGCAGCGACGCCGCGUGAGUGAUGAAGGCCUUCGGGUUGUAAAGCUCUGUGGAGAGGGACGAAUAAGUGUUGGCUAACAUCCAGCAUGAUGACGGUACCUCUUUAGCAAGCACCGGCUAACUCUGUGCCAGCAGCCGCGGUAAGAC
rnacentral:rRNA from 1 species